rnacentral:tRNA from 1 species
GUUUUAAUAAUUUAACAAAAAUAUUGGUCUUGUAAACCAAAAAUGAGAACAAUCUCUUAAGACU